UACAUGGUUGAUCCUGCCAGUAGUCAUAUGCUUGUCUCAAAAAUUAAGCCAUGCAUAUCUUAAGGACAUACUGUAUUAAGGCGAAACCGCGAAUGCCUUAUUAAAUCAGUUAUGGUUCCUUGGAUCGUACUUUACCAUUUGGAUAACUAUGGCAAUUCUAGAGCUAAUACAUGCAGCAGAGCUCCGAUGCUGUGGGAACGAGGGCUUUUAUUAGACCAAAACCAAUCGGACGUCGUGUCCGUAUUAUGUGGUGACUCUGUAUAACUUUGGGCCGAUCACACGGGCUUGUCCCGGCGACGGAUCUUUCAAGUGUCUGCCUUAACAACUGUCGAUGGUAGGUUACACGCCCACCAUGGUCGUAACGGGUAACAGGGAAUCAGGGUUCGAUUCCGGAGAGGGAGCCUGAGAAGCGGCUACCACAUCCAAGGAAGGCAGCAGCCGCGCAAGUGCAAAUUACCCAUUCCACAGAACGGGGAGGUAAUGACGAAGAAUAACAAUACGGGACUCUUUUGAGACUCCGUAACUGGAAUGAGUACACUCUAAAUCCUUUAACGAGGAUCAGUUGGAAGGUAAGUCUGGUGCCAGCAGCCGCGGUCAUUCCAGCUCCAAUAAUGCAUAUUGAAGUUGUUGCGGUUAAAAAGCUCGUAGUUGGAUCUUACUUCCAGACGGGUGGUAGUUGCCAUAAUGUCAGUAACCCAAGCGUUACCAGAAAAGCAGGAAAAAGUUUGAUUAUUAUGUCUUUAUGCCUUUUUUAACUAGAAUAUUACUUAAGCUUUCUUAUUAGAUUCAAACUAAUGUACAUAUAAUGGUCAGCAACUCAAGAUGCGUUUAACACUUUGACUGACGCGUCAUCUGAGUGCGGGUGACGGCAAGAAUUCUGAUCAUCCGUAUUCGGGUGACAGUUCUUUGAAUACUUACAAGGUAAAGUAGCUGUUUGAAAAAAAUGAUUGUUGAAAGAAAGAAACGAAAAUGUUUGUUGCCGACAAUUAAAUUCAUUCCAUUCACUAAACUAAAUUGAGCGUUUUUCGGUAUCAACU
rfam:Stegodyphus mimosarum contig66044, whole genome shotgun sequence.